rnacentral:rRNA from 1 species
GGAAUAUUGGUCAAUGGGCGUAAGCCUGAACCAGCCAAGUCGCGUGCAGGAUGACGGCCCUAUGGGUUGUAAACUGCUUUUAUACGAGGAUAAAGUUGGGAACGCGUUCCCAUUUGCAGGUAUCGUAUGAAUAAGGAUCGGCUAACUCCGUGCCAGCAGCCGCGGUAAUACGGAGGAUCCGAGCGUUAUCCGGAUUUAUUGGGUUUAAAGGGUGCGUAGGCGGCACUAUAAGUCAGCCGUGAAAUAUUUGGGCUUAACCCAUGUAAUGCGGUUGAAACUGUAGUGCUUGAGUUGACACGAGGUAAGCGGAAUUUGUGGUGUAGCGGUGAAAUGCUUAGAUAUCACGAAGAACUCCGAUUGCGAAGGCAGCUUACUGGAGUCAUACUGACGCUGAAGCACGAAAGUGUGGGUAUCAAACAGGAUUAGAUACCCUGGUAGUCCACACGGUAAACGAUGAAUACUCGCCGUAGGUCUUUUUUGGUCUGUGGCUUAGCGAAAGCGUUAAGUAUUCCACCUGGGGAGUACGCCGGCAACGGUGAAACUCAAAGGAAUUGACGGGGGCCCGCACAAGCGGAGGAACAUGUGGUUUAAUUCGAUGAUACGCGAGGAACCUUACCCGGGCUUGAAUUGCAAGAGAAGAUUCAGAGAUGAUGAUGCCCUUCGGGGCUCUUGUGAAGGUGCUGCAUGGUUGUCGUCAGCUCGUGCCGUGAGGUGUCGGCUUAAGUGCCAUAACGAGCGCAACCCCUUUUUAUAGUUGCCAUCGGGUAAUGCCGGGCACUCUGUGGAGACUGCCACCGUAAGGUGUGAGGAAGGUGGGGAUGACGUCAAAUCAGCACGGCCCUUACGUCCGGGGCUACACACGUGUUACAAUGGCGGGUACAGAGGGCAG